rnacentral:rRNA from 1 species
AUGCGGAGGAUCCGAGCGUUAUCCGGAUUUAUUGGGUUUAAAGGGUGCGCAGGCGGCCAUUUAAGUCAGCGGUUAAAUCGUGGGGCUCAACCCCAUUCUGCCGUUGAUACUGGGAGGCUUGAUUGCGGUCGAGGUUGGCGGAAUUCGUUGUGUAGCGGUUAAAUGCAUAGAUAUGACGAAGAACACCGAUUGCGUAGGCAGCUGACCAGACCGCAAAUGACGCUCAUGCACGAAAGUGCGGGGAUCGAACAGGAUUAGAUACCCUGGUAGUCCGCACAGUAAACGAUGAAUACUUGUUUUCGGCGAUAUAAUGUCGGAGGCAAAGCGAAAGCGAUAAGUAUUCCACCUGGGGAGUACGCCGGCAACGGUGAAACUCAAAUGAAUUGACGGGG